rnacentral:misc_RNA from 1 species
AACCUUAUGGACCUGCGGGCGUAUACCUGCGGAGGGAUCAUUACCUAGAGUUGUAGGCUUUGCCUGCUAUCUCUUACCCAUGUCUUUUGAGUACCUUACGUUUCCUCGGUGGGUUCGCCCGCCGGUUGGACAAAACUUAAACCCUUUGUAGUUGCAAUCAGCGUCUGAAAAAACUUAAUAGUUACAACUUUCAACAACGGAUCU